GACGAACGCGGGCGGCGUGCUUAACACAUGCAAGUUGAGCGGUAAGGCCCUUUCGGGGGUACACGAGCGGCGAACGGGUGAGUAACACGUGGGUGACCUGCCCUCAGCUCUGGGAUAAGCCUGGGAAACCGGGUCUAAUACCGGAUAUGACUCCAUGACGCAUGUUGUGGGGUGGAAAGCCUUGUGCGGCUGAGGAUGGGCCCGCGGCCUAUCAGCUUGUUGGUGGGGUGANGGCCUACCAAGGCGACGACGGGUAGCCGGCCUGAGAGGGCGACCGGCCACACGUGGAC
rnacentral:rRNA from 1 species